rnacentral:lncRNA from 10 species
GCGCGGGGAGGCGGCGGGGGCGGGACCAGCGCGCGGGCGGGGCGCGGGUUCCCGGGAGGAUCCGGGCGCGGGGAAAGCGGAGCGUCCGGGACGCGGCGGGACUCGAGUGUUUCGGAAAAGGAGCGUCUCCCCAGGCGGUGGUUGUCUUCACUAGCGAUGGGGUAAAAGGAGGACGCAAUACCUGGUUCAACUUGAGCAGACGGAGUCUCGCUAUGUUGCCCAGGCUGGGGUGCAGUGGCGUGAUCUCUGCUCACUGCAAGCUCCGCCUCCCGGGUUCACGCCAUUCUCCUGCCUCAGCCUCCCGAGUAGCUGGGACCACAGGCGCCCGCCACCACGCCCGGCUGAUUUUUUUUAUUUUUAGUAGAGACGGGGUUUCACCGUGUUAGCCAGGAUGAUCUCAAUCUCCUGACCUCGUGAUCCGCCCGCCUGGGCCUCCCAAAGUGCUGGGAUUACAGGUGUGAGCCACCGCGCCUGGCCGAGCAUGUUAAUUUAAGCAAAUGAAUGUCCCUGGGAAUGAUCUUCAAGGAGAAUUAAAGUGGGAUAGAGAAGUCAUCUAUCUGCACCUGUGUCUGAACCAGAAUGACGAGGCACUUCCAUGUCAGCUAGUUACUGGAGCAGGCGGAGUAAGGAGUACCCCUGGGCUUCUGCCCCGAAACCACCACGGCUACUUCAAAACAAUAUUACAUUAAUUUUCCUGCUUGUUCUUGAGAAGCACUGGUUUGAAAAAUUGGAUGGGGUGAUACAUGUUUUAAUCAGUAUUUACAAGGCUCCUUAAUCACUUCAUCAGACAAUUCAUUGAGCACCUACUAUGUGCCAGGCAGUGUAAUUCAUUGAGCACCUGCUGUGUGCCAGGCAGUGUCUGAGGCACUUCUAGCUAUUAUUUCCUAAGGGUUCCAGCAGCCCAUGGAUAAACUUCAAAGAGUGAAUGAGCAUCUCUAGCCUCUGCCUGUUCAUCUGGGACAAUCUGCACCUGGGCGUGGACCUGCUGCUUCAGAUCAGUAGGUAUCAGAAUGAACUCAGUUGGAUGGGGCAGUUCAGGACCCCUGGCCUCCUUUUAGUCUGGACCCCACUCUCAUUCCUCAUAUUCUCAAUUCACUCUUUCUACUGAGUUACUAUCCUAGUAAUGACAAUGCCUCCUAUCAUCUAGAGACUUGGUUUGAUACAAUGCAUUCACAUACAACUGCUCGUUUUGAUUUCUAUAACUGGGGAAUACAGAAAGCAAAUAUGCGGUGCAAUGGAGGAUGUCUCCAUUACCCCAGAUAACUCCAAAAUUCUUCACCUAGUUACCAGUGCAGGAAAUUCGUUCGAAGGCAGAAAUGGAAAAUGAAUAAGAAACAAUUUGGAUGUGUUCCAAAAAUGGAGAGUUGUCAGGCACUAUAUCAUACAACCUGAAAUAUCAAUGGUGAAGUAGACAGUUCACCUCCACAGGGGGCAGGAGGUUGGACCCAGGGCAAUGGAUGUUUUAUAUGGAUGGUUAACCGGUCUGUGGCCAUGAGGUGGAAAGCUGUGUACACCUGUGAAGCCAUCAUCACAAUCAAGUUAGGGAACAUAUCCAUCACCCAAAAAAGUGUUCUCAUGCCCUUUGGUAAUUCCUCCCUCCUAAAUGUCCCCACCCUACCCCACAUCCCAGUUUCUAUGCAAAAACCGCUGACCAACUUUCUAUCACUAUAGAUUUGUUUGUAUUUUCUAGACUUUUAUAUAAAAAGAAUUAUACUGUAUGUACACUUUUUUGUCUGUUUUUUUCACUUAACAUAUUUAUUUUCAGAAUCAUCUAUCUUGUUGCAGGUGUAUUCCUUUUUAUUGCUCAGUAGUAUUCCACUGUAUGGAUAUAACACAAUUUGUUUAUCAUUCACCUGUUGAGGGACAUUAUACUUGCUUCUAAAUUUUUACUAUCACAAAUAAAGCUGCUGUAGGCAUUCAUGUGUGUGUCCAUCGUGUGGACAUUGUGUGCACACGUGCUUCCAUUUCUCUUGGGGAAAUAUCUAGGAGCAGAGUGUCUGGAUCCCAUAGUAGGUAUUUGUUUAACUUUUUAAACUGUUUUUCAAAGUGGUUAUACUGUUUUUCAUUUUCACCAUCAAUGCAUGAGGGUCCCAGUUGCUCCACAUCCCCACCCAUACUUUCUGUGGUCACUUUAAAAAUUUUUAGCCGC